rnacentral:misc_RNA from 1 species
GAUGAAGAACGUAGCGAAAUGCGAUAAGUAGUGUGAAUUGCAGAAUUCAGUGAAUCAUCGAAUCUUUGAACGCACAUUGCGCCCCUUGGUAUUCCAUGGGGCAUGCCUGUUCGAGCGUCAUCUACACCCUCAAGCUCUGCUUGGUGUUGGGCGUCUGUCCCGCCUUUGCGCGUGGACUCGCCCCAAAUUCAUUGGCAGCGGUCCUUGCCUCCUCUCGCGCAGCACAUUUGCGCUUCUCGAGGUGCGCGGGCCGCGUCCACGAAGCAACUAUUACCGUCUUUGACCUCGGAUCAGGUAGGAAUACCCGCUGAACUUAAGCAUAUCAAUAAGCGGAGGA